UGUGUUUUGGUCUGUUUUUCUCAUACUUUAUGCAAUAGGUCUACUAUAUUUGUUGUAUGGAAUGGUUGUAAGGUGUACAUGUCUAGCGGGCAGAUGUCAUCUGACCUUGACCUCAUUUUCAUGGUUCAGUGGUCAAAGUUAAGUUUUAAGUUUUGGUCUUUUUAUCUAAUAUUAUAUGCCAAAGGUCAACUAUAUUUGGUGUAUGGAAAUAUAUUAUGAUCUAUAUGUCAGUCCUGCAG
rnacentral:lncRNA from 1 species